UGAGAAAGAGACAAAUAUAUCAUUGUUUUUUGUGAGUCAAGUAGAAUAAUUACGGCAUUUCCAUAUGAUAGUUCUUCAGAGGUUUGAUUGUACAUCUGUGGAUUGAUCAUCCCAAAAAAAUUGUACUAGAGCUUGCAAAAAAUAUAUUUUAUCAACAAAGCUUUUGUGUACAAGUAAAUUAUAAGUAGAAUGGACUCAAAAAACAGAUUGUGCACUAAUUCGCCGCCACUUCCUCGUGUUCGGCAACCCCCUCCGGAGCCCAGAGCACGGCAGACGCCGCCGCAGCCUCGUCGUGCGUCUGCUCAAUGUCCACCGCAGCCGAGAGAGCGGCAACCACCACCACAGCCAAGAGAGAGGCAAAUACCUCCCCAACCCAGACAUUCAUAGUAUAACUAAGUUGAUGUAAAGGUGGCAUAAACUCUGACAAUAUGUUAAAUACUUGAAAAUUUUAUUAUUUUAAGAUUUAAAGUUUACCUGUAAAUCUAAAAAGUACAGUAGACACUUCUAUGGAUAGUUGAUGUGAUGUUGAUUGCAUCAAUAUGUGUCAUUAAAUCCCAACUAUGACCUUCUCCAAUCAGGGCUUUGCCCAUUAUUAUGGGCAUGGUUUUGUUAUUUAACUGAUUCCCUGUUCUUAAAAUAAAACAAUUGAUUUGUUUAUAUGUAAUUUAUCAGACAGGGAACCUAUUAGACUAAAAUUUAGAAGACGGACGGACUUUAAGUUUACUAAAAUGUAAAAUUAUACUAUCUUUUUAAAUGUUUGAAAUAAAUUACUGUUUUAUUUGUCAAAAAAAAAAGUGUGAAAAAGUUACCAAAAAUUUUGAAGCCAGUGCUUGAUCUAAUGUCCGCCUAUUUGACAAUUUUAUAACUAUAUGCUGCUGUUAUAGUAAUAUAUAUGUAAGUAUAAAAUUAAAUAUGUAAUAGAUUUAUUUUGUGGAAACCUUUUUUUUAAUCAUAAGAAUAUGAAAGGUUGUUCUAUUUAAAAUUAAUCUUUUCUUGUGGUAAGGAUAUUUUAAAUAAAGUCAAAAAUUAAUCUUAUUAUUUCCACAUAGGUGCUGUGGUAAAUAUAUACUUAUUCCUCAGUAGCAUUCUUUUUCAAUGUUGUUACAAAAUAAUACUACUAAAUCACAGUUCAGAUGACGUAAUGAUAAAAAAUAAGCCAAAUGUUAUGCUUUUUUAUUUGUUGUUUGAUUACAAUUUAUUGAUCUUGCUAGAAUAUGAAAAUUAAUAAAUAUCCUUAUAAAUUCAAUUAUACAUUGGAACUGAUCUGUGAUUAGUAACUGCCUCUUGAGACUGUAAUUACAGUCAUAAAAAUUACAAUACCCACUAGUUUAAUGAAAAUUUGAUUAAUAGCUUUGUGCAUAUUUAACUCUUUGUAUUCUCAAAACAAGUGUUAGUUACAAACUACUAUUAUAUUUUUGAGUCACUGUUGACGUUUUUACUCUUUGCAUUAUUUUUUGUUUUGUUAAAAAUAAAUUAAGUUAAUUUUAAAUAUAAAAUUUAACCACAUUGGUAACAAAAUUAUUUUUCUUAUUGGUUUGGCUCUGUCCCGUAAGAGCUAAAAUCGUUAUAUUUGUAUGCCCUUUGCUAGUGGGAUGUAAAUGCUGAAACCUCGCCAAGGGGCCCAACACCAUUGUAGUUCAAUGCAGUAAGAGACGGUUUCCCGAAAUUUCUGCGGGAACGACAUACAACGGGAUUUUACGUUCUACGCGGGUAGAACACUUGGGCGUAUCCUAGUAAAUAAAUUAUAAGUUUCGGUUUAGGUAUUCAGUUGAGAUAAAUCUCAAUCUGCGUUGUAUACCGUUGAUAUCCACUUCCACUGCGUGGGCUGUGGAAGUCGACAUGUGGAAAUUAAAUGUUAUUCAAUGUUAUAAGUAGGUUUUUUUUAUUAUUUAUCAUCUAUCGCAGCUUACCAUGGGUCGUCUCUUUAUAAUCUUUAUAUUAAUGCUCCUUCUAUGUGAGGUAUUAUCACAUCCGAAAAGAGUUAAACGUGUUGAAAUGUCCGAGGAGGUGAAGGACCGCCCUAUCUUAAGGUCUGGUUGGCUAGAUUCCCCA